ACCGUGCGAAGGUAGCGUAAUCACUUGUUCUUUAAAUGAGGACUAGUAUGAAUGGCACCACGAAGGUUAUGCUGUCUCCUUUUUCUAAUCAAUGAAACUGAUCUGCCCGUGAAGAAGCGAGCAUAAAGAUAUAAGACGAGAAGACCCUAUGGAGCUUUAAACUGUUAUAGCACCGGCUUAUCCCCAUGUUUCAAAACUACAACAUCUAAUCUAGCCUCGAUGACUAUUCGUUUUAGGUUGGGGUGACCGCGGAGUAAAAACUAACCUCCACGCUGAAAGGGGCACACCCUGAGCCCAGAGCUACAACUCCUAGCACCAAUAAACUGACACUCAUUGACCCAAUAUAUUGAUCAACGAACCAAGUUACCCUAGGGAUAACAGCGCAAUCCACUUCAAGAGCCCCUAUCGACAAGUGGGUUUACGACCUCGAUGUUGGAUCAGGGUAUCCUAGCGGUGCAGCCGCUGCUAAAGGUUCGUUUGUUCAACGAUUAAAACCCU
rnacentral:rRNA from 1 species